rnacentral:tRNA from 1 species
GGAAGUAUAGCUCAGUGACAGAGCACUUACCUAGCAUGUAUGAGGCCUUGGGUUCAAUACCCAGCACCA